AAAGUCGUAACAAGGUUUCCGUAGGUGAACCUGCGGAAGGAUCAUUACAGAAUGCACAUCUCUCUACCUUCUUGUAGUAAGGUGGGACCUGUCAGCACGCUACCAACGUCGGUUAUCCGGCAGUGCGCACCUUUGGUCUUCGCCCUGCUACGCCGUUCUAUUUUACAAAUCUGUCGCAUGUUGGUGGCAUCCCAUACAAAUAUAUAUAUAACUUUCAACAACGGAUCUCUUGGCUCUC
rnacentral:misc_RNA from 1 species